rnacentral:rRNA from 1 species
GACGAACGCUGGCGGCGUGCUUAACACACGCAAGUCGAACGGUAAGGCCCUUCGGGGUACACGAGUGGCGAACGGGUGAGUAACACGUGGGUGAUCUGCCCUGCACUUCGGGAUAAGCCUGGGAAACUGGGUCUAAUACCGGAUAGGACCACUGCCUGCAUGGGUGGUGGUGGAAAGCUUUUGCGGUGUGGGAUGGGCCCGCGGCCUAUCAGCUUGUUGGUGGGGUGAUGGCCUACCAAGGCGACGACGGGUAGCCGGCCUGGGAGGGUGACCGGCCACACUGGGACUGAGGUACGGCCCAGACUCCGACGGGAGGCAGCAGUGGGGAAUAUUGCACAAUGGGCGCAAGCCUGAUGCAGCGACGCCGCGUGAGGGAUGACGGCCUUCGGGUUGUAAACCUCUUUCAGCACCGACGAAGCGCAAGUGACGGUAGGUGCAGAAGAAGGACCGGCCAACUACGUGCCAGCCGCCGCCGUAA